UGGGAUGUUAGUAAACUAAUUACAUGGCCCUGUCAAAGCCAAACUACAGGUGAAAANCCUGUACACCCCU
rnacentral:tRNA from 1 species